GAUGAACGCUAGCGGCAGGCCUAAUACAUGCAAGUCGAACGGUGUCUUCGGACAUAGUGGCGCACGGGUGCGUAACACGUAUGCAACCUACCUUACAUUGGGGGAUAGCCUUUCGAAAGGGAGAUUAAUACCGCAUAAGACAGUAGCUGGGCAUCCAGCAGCUGUUAAAGAUUUAUCGAUGUAAGCUGGGCAUGCGUCCAAUUAGCUAGUUGGUGAGGUAACGGCUCACCAAGGCAAGGAUUGGUAGGGGAACUGAGAGGUCAGUCCCCCACACUGGCACUGAGAUACGGGCCGGACUCCUACGGGAGGCAGCAGUAGGGAAUAUUGGGCAAUGGACGCAAGUCUGACCCAGCCAUGCCGCGUGCAGGAUGAAGGCGUUAUGCGUUGUAAACUGCUUUUAUACAGGAAGAAACGACUCUUGCGAGAGGCAUUGACGGUACUGUAUGAAUAAGCACCGGCUAACUCCGUGCCAGCAGCCGCCGUAAGAC
rnacentral:rRNA from 1 species